rnacentral:misc_RNA from 1 species
GAUGAAGAACGCAGCGAAAUGCGAUACUUGGUGUGAAUUGCAGAAUCCCGUGAACCAUCGAGUCUUUGAACGCAAGUUGCGCCCGAAGCCAUUUGGUUGAGGGCACGUCUGCCUGGGCGUCACAUAUCGUUGCCCGACGCCUAUUGCACUGUGAUAGGAAAUUCUAGGGCGAAAGAUGGCUUCCCGUGAGCGUUGUUGCCUCGCGGUUGGUUGAAAAUCGAGUCCUUGGUAGGGUGUGCCAUGAUAGAUGGUGGUCGAGUUUGCACGAGACCGAUCAUGUGUGCGCUCCCCAAAAUAUGUACUCUUUGACCCCACACGCGUCUUUUGAUGCUAAUGACGAGACCUCAGGUCAGGCGGGGCUACCCGCUGAGUUUAAGCAUAUCAAUAAGCGGAGGA